GUGACGUGGAGCGAAUCGCGAAAAGCCGGUCUCAGUUCGGAUUGGAGUCUGAAACUCGACUCCAUGAAGGUGGAAUCGCUAGUAAUCGCGCAUCAGCAUGGCGCGGUGAAUACGUUCCCGGGCCUUGUACACACCGCCCGUCACACCACCCGAGUUGGGGGUACCCGAAGUCGCUAGCCUAACCUGCAUAAGGGGGGCGGUGCCGAAGGUAUGCCUGGUAAGGGGGGUG
rnacentral:rRNA from 1 species